rnacentral:tRNA from 1 species
UGGGAUCGUGAGCUAACCUGGUAUGCUGCAAGCUUCGGGAGUUUGUUAUCUGAGUUCAAAUCUCAGCGAUCCCAU